AUAUGUUUUCUACAACUAUAUUUUAUUUUCCAUAGACAUAUACUUUUUUUUUUUUUUUAUGUUGUACAAGUAUAUUUCAACACAUCCAUUGUUGUCUUUAAAUUUAAAUAGUACAAAUAUUUUAUAUUUACAUUUAUACUGUUAUUUUACCAGUAUAAAUAUAAGUACAUACAUGUAAAGUGAACUCUUUACUAUCCGAUUUAUUUUGUGUGUCAAUUUAUUUUAUUUGUUUAUUUAUUUUAUAUUUUUUGUUUUUAAUUUUAAAUAAAAACUUUAAUUCAUUUUAACUUUUCUCUCAUUUUUUUUUGUCGCUCAUAUUAUUGAUCGUGUUUUUAAAAACGAUUAUACUUAGUCUGUGAAAUAUAUAUAAAAGGAGGAGGAAAAAAAAAAAAAAAAAAAAAUAUAUAUAUAUAUAUAUAUAAUUAAUUUCCAUUAUGAAUAGCAAACUAUUAACUAAUGUUUUAAAACCAUGGAUGUGUGUACUUAUCAUUUGUAUGAUAUUUAGUUGUAUUUUGUGUGAUGACAUAAAACUCGAAACAUACUACUGUAACACUGAUGUGUUUGGGAAAUAUUUAGGGAAAGGAUAUGACAUUGUAAUGGGCUACCCAUUACCAGAUACUGAGUUAGACGAAGAUCCAGGAUUUAAAAAAGUAAUAUUCAAUACUGAAAAUUCUAUAAAAGUUAUUAAUGAGAACUCCUGUCAAAGAGAUGAAUAUUUUAAUUUUAUAGAAGAUAUUAAUGAUAUUGAAUUAUUAACAAUGUAUAAUGUAACUAUGGAUGAUAUGAAUACAAACAUAAGUCUUUUUUCAGGAUCUACAUCAUAUAAAAGAUAUUUUUCAAAUUUAGAAAUACAAAAAAAAAAGUUUGUAAUUGCACAAAACACUUGUUUACUUUGUUAUGCAGCAUAUAAUUUAAAUGAAUCUACCCAAAACAUUAAUAAAGAAUUUUUACUAGAUUCAGAUAGUUUACCUAUUUUACCAAUUGGAAUAAACGAAAAAAAAAAUUGUCCUACAGAAUUAUAUCUUAAAGAUCCUAAUAAUGAAAAUUGUAUAAAAACAAUAAAACCAUGGAUAGAUUUUUUUAAAGACUAUGGAACGCAUAUAUUAUCAUCUGCUCAUUUUGGAGGACAAACUUUAAAUACGUUAGAAGUUACAUUGGAGAACUUAGAAAAAUUAAAAUUAUACAAAUAUAAAUUUUAUAUAAGUGAUAUUCCUUAUUUAAAUAUAUUUAAUUUUUCUAAGCUUCUUGAAGGUAUAUUUAAAUUAAAAAAUACAAAAAAUGUGAAACGUAGUAAUGGUUUAGUGGUAACAGGACAAGAUAACAAAAUGGUAUCAAAAUUGAAUAAUAAUGAUGAAAAUUAUUUAACAGAAAAAAUCACAAACAAAUCGAAUGAGAUCUUGAAUAUGAUGGAUAAACCUGAUAUUACCUUAGACAUCAGAGGAGGUAUAAAUUCAAGUGAUAAUUGGAAUGAAGAUGGUUACAAAGUUUGGAAAAAUUCUUUAUAUAAUAAAAUGGUCCCUAUUAAUCUUGAUUUAAUUUCUUUAAGUUCAUUUAUGCGUAUAAACAAAAAAAGUUCAUACAAUAUAGCUUUAUUAUAUUAUAAUAAUUUAUAUAGUACAAAUGAAAAAAAUUAUUAUUUAUCUCAAGACAUAGUCGAUAUUUAUGCUGAUGGGAGAUAUGUCACAAAAUCUGGUAAAGGGUCUUUGACAUUAACAUGUCCAGUUGGUUAUAUAAAAAGUACUGGUUUUAUAUUCAGUUAUGAUCCUUCGGAAGAUGACCAAGAAAACGAAAAAAGUAGCCCAUCAGGUAGUGAUAAAUCCAGAAUAAAAAUAAAUCCAUGUGAGAAUGUAGGAGAAUAUGAUGUAUCAUGUAGUUAUGUAAAUAAAAAUGAUGAUAUUUUGACUUUUGGUUGGAUGUAUUGUGUUAAGCAUAAAUUAGCAGUAUUUGAAACAUUGAACAAUUCAUAUUAUCAUAAAUCAAAUAAAAAAAUAAAAAAUAAUAACAAUAACAAUUUAGAAAUCAAAUGUUCAAAUGGAAAUGAGUUAGGUUUUGGAUUUAAAAUAAAAUUAGGUAAAAAAGAUAAAUUAAACAAAAUCAAAAUUAAACCUUGUACAGUUGGAAAUAAAGAAUGUGUUAUAAAUAAAAAAGAUAAAAAUUCUGAUUAUUUAAUAUGGGGAUUUUGCACACCUUCCUCUUUUAAUAACAAAAUGCUUUUAGAAUUAAAGUAUAUUUCUGCAAAAAAUGUAACCAGAGAUGUACGUGCUGCUUGUAGGGAUCAACAUAAAACUGAGCAAGAUAAUAUAUUUUUUGGCUUUUCUUUUAAUUUUGAUAGAGGACAAAAACAAAUUAAUGUUAACUCAUGUACCAUGAAAUCCAAAUAUUGUUUGAAUACAAUAAAAAAUAACGACAACGAAACAAAAGAUGUAGAAAAGCAUUACGCUGGGACGUUUUUGUUGUGUAAAAGUGACGGAGGUAUUGAAAGAAAAUUUGAACAGAAUUAGUGAGAUGUUAAUAAGUUAUAUACGCACGUAUAUAUAUAUA
ensembl:lncRNA